UCCGUAGGUGAACUGCGGAAGGAUCAUG
rnacentral:rRNA from 1 species